rnacentral:rRNA from 1 species
GAUGAACGCUAGCGGCAGGCCUAACACAUGCAAGUCGAGGGGCAUCGCGGUGCAGCAAUGCACUGGCGGCGACCGGCGUACGGGUGCGUAACGCGUAUGCAACCUGCCCCGCACCGGGGGAUAGCCCGCCGAAAGGCGGAUUAAUACCCCAUGGCCCCGGGGGCCCGCAUGGGCAUCCGGGUAAAGCUUUGGCGGUGCGGGAUGGGCAUGCGUGCCAUUAGCUGGCUGGUGGGGUAACGGCCCACCAGGGCAACGAUGGCUAGGGGGUCUGAGAGGAUGGUCCCCCACACUGGUACUGAGACACGGACCAGACUCCUACGGGAGGCAGCAGUGAGGAAUAUUGGUCAAUGGGCGGAAGCCUGAACCAGCCAUGCCGCGUGCGGGAAGAAGGCCUUCGGGUUGUAAACUGCUUUAGUCUAGGAAAAAGGGGUGCGAGGUUAAUACCCUCGUGCUUUGAUGGUACUGGAAGAAUAAGCACCGGCUAACUACGUG